rnacentral:rRNA from 1 species
CGAAUUCGCCCUUCCUACGGGAGGCAGCAGUGGGGAAUAUUGCGCAAUGGGCGGAAGCCUGACGCAGCGACGCCGCGUGGGGGAUGACGGCCUUCGGGUUGUAAACCUCUUUCGACCUUGACGAAGCCUUUCGGGGUGACGGUAGGGGUAGAAGAAGCACCGGCCAACUACGUGCCAGCAGCCGCGGUAAUACGUAGGGUGCGAGCGUUGUCCGGAAUUAUUGGGCGUAAAGAGCUCGUAGGCGGUCUGUCGCGUCGGUCGUGAAAACUUGGGGCUUAACCCUGAGCUUGCGGUCGAUACGGGCAUGACUGGAGUUCGGCAGGGGAGACUGGAAUUCCUGGUGUAGCGGUGAAAUGCGCAGAUAUCAGGAGGAACACCGGUGGCGAAGGCGGGUCUCUGGGCCGAUACUGACGCUGAGGAGCGAAAGCGUGGGGAGCGAACAGGAUUAGAUACCCUGGUAGUCCACGCCGUAAACGGUGGGCGCUAGGUGUGGGGGCCAUUCCACGGUCUCUGUGCCGCAGCUAACGCAUUAAGCGCCCUGCCUGGGGAGUACGGCCGCAAGGCUAAAACUCAAAGGAAUUGACGG